ensembl:lncRNA
CACAGCUCUGGUUCUGAGCUGUGUUUGGAAAAUCCUUCUGUCACAGCUCUGUUUAAAUAAAUACAACAAGCUCUCUAGGACUGUACGGUGAAUCUAUUCUAGUUCUUGUUGGCUGAUUUCUUUGGAUCUGCUAAGAAGGUGAUAACAUCAGUUUUGUUUCUUUUUAACGCUUUAAAGGAAGCUUUGUGUGAUUUUUUGCCAAUGCUGUGAGAAGUUUAGAAAAGAGGUAGGGAGGUGAUUUGAACGGUGGCUUCCACACCUCUUUUUGAGGGACCACAACAGGGUUUGGUUGUGCAGUGCCUGGGUCAGAUUCUGCUGCCCAUAUUAUGCAGGCAGCCUCCAGCCUUCAAAUGGACUGCGCCACAGAGCUUGAAAGCAAUGGGCAGCUCUGAGAAAACCGGAUGGUUUUAACCCUGAGUGCAGUCUGAAAACCAAAUGGUCCAAAUAGCCGCAGAAUGAUUAAUAGUCCCAAAAUGCCUGAAGCAAAGAGCAAGAUGGCAGCCACAGCCACUUGGGAUCUGUGAGAUCUGAAUUUUCCCAGGGAUCUGCUGGAGGCUAUGGCCUGUGGACCUGUACAUCUUGGUGGUCUGUGGCAGAGCAAAUCUCAACUUGAUCAAAUCAGCAGCAGAGCCUCAAGAAUUACGUGGGCACGUAAUGACCACUGAUUUCGUGAAACUGGUGCUAACGAGUGCUGGUUCCCAGAGCUCAGCUCAUUGCAUCAAGCAGCGAUGGCACUUGCUUUCUAAAGACACAAACAAUCCUUGGACUGGAUUCGGUAGGGAACACGUGCCAGCUCUUUUUGAAACAGCCUCCCCAGCAACAGCAGAUUUUGCCCAUCUUCCUUCCAUUUAUUUUGUUUUUGUAAAUAACGACCACGACCCCAGAGCUGUGUGGAUGUCCAGGCGGCACCUUACUGGCAUCCUCAGCAGAUGGGGUGCUGCCAGUUUGUGCUCUGCGUGCCAGUGAGGUGUGCUCCCCUCCACCUGUGACUGUGGGAAGAAGCAGGGACAUUCCUGUAGACUGAAGAAAGAAAAGGGGACCCAAUCCUGCAUUUUGUAAGAUUAUCUUAUUAAGAGUAAUUUUAAAAAGCAGGGUUUUUCUUCUGCUUGCUGGUUCUGUGGUUUUUAUUUUUGCUUUUGCCUAUUCUGACCAAAACAGAAAAAAAAACCUCAACAUUGGAGACUAAAACUGGGCCCCAACCUUUGGGCAGCUCUCAGCACGGUUAGCACUUGGGAAGGGCUGGAAAAUGAGGGGCUCUGCAAGGAGAUAAAAUGUAGGAAUCAAAACAACGAACAGAACAAGCCAGAGCACUGGCCAGGCAGGGCACUUGUGGGAAGGCUCAGAAUGGAAAUGCUGAGGAAAUCUCAUUUCUGAAAUUCACUCCUGGAAACAUCAGUGAGUGACAGACACCAAAAACGAGGGGGCACCGCGUGUCUUGAAAGCACGGCACAAAUCUGCACCUGUUCUGCUGCUUUCCAGAAAGUGUCGGGCACGGGGCAGGGAAUAAUACACCAUCCUCUCAAGCCUUCAUUUCGCAGCACCCUAAAAUAUACCACUGUCAUGGAAAAGAAAAUCAAGUGAAUAAACGUCCCAAUUUAUAUAUAUUUGAAUAGGUAACGAGAACAAUUUUACUGUUUGCCAUAAAUGAAAAAAAAAACCCACCAAAUCACUGCUCUGAUUGAGGUUCUGAAGCUCUGUUUAUGGCUGCAAAGCGAUUUGGUACAAAAAAAAAGAAAAAAAGAAAAAAAGAAAAAAAAAAGAAUUACACAUUUUGAGUUAUUAUAUCACCCAGAAAUUUGAUGCCACUUAACUAUGUAAUUUUCAGAAAUGAUAUAAAACCACUGCAGAAAAAUAUUCAGGGAAGCCCAAAAGACCUCUUUUUAUCUUUUUUUUAUGGGUCUAAAAUGAGAACUCGCAGAGAUCCUUGCACUGUGUGUGAAGGCUGAACUGCCACCUCGGGAGCUUUAUUAAUAUGUAUGUAAAUAUGAUCUGGUUGGAUCCUGUGCUUCUGUGUCUUUUCACAAGGUGGAGCGGCUAACGAAGCUGAUCACAUCCGCACCCCGUGUUUAUUCUUUCUUUCUCUCUCUCUCUCUCUCUUUUUCCCCAAGCAGCAACAUUUAAAGAUGCAAAGAGAAUGAGGAUAGCAGCCUCAUUUAUGUCAGACUGUCUCGACCCUCCUUCCUUCCUUCCUUCCUUCCUUCCCUCUCUCCUCUCCCCCCAGCUCCCAGAUCCGUAUCAAAAACAAUUUGCUUCCAACUUAGUAUGGGUCGGGAAGAAACUCAAAUCACAUCACACAGAAUCUGCAGCUCCAAUUUCUCUUCCACUGAAAAGUUAUUUGAGCAAAUGGGGAGAAAGUGGAAAUGCAUUCGAAAUGCGCCCAAGUGCCACAACCAGCUUAUCCUCCGCGAGGAUAUCGGGACUUCCUCUUCACGCUGCUAUUUACAUAUCUAUAUCCGUGCCAAAUUUUAGCUAAAGACGUUGCACGAUUCCAAAAAGAAGGAAAGAAAAAGCAGGAAGCUGAGCGUGUGUGUGCAGAGGGCUCUUGACUCAGCACGCCCCAUGUGUGGGGUGGAAUGGAGUUAUUCCUCAUCACAUCAGCCUGUUUUCCCCUAUGACAAAGACGGUGCUCCUCGAUGGGAACUUCUGCAACCCUUGGUGUAUUGGGCAGACAGAGGAG